UCCGCCCGCUGGCGGCGUGCUUAACACAUGCAAGUCGAACGGAAAGGCCCUGCUUUUGUGGGGUGCUCGAGUGGCGAACGGGUGAGUAACACGUGAGUAACCUGCCCUUGACUUUGGGAUAACUUCAGGAAACUGGGGCUAAUACCGGAUAGGAGCUCCUGCUGCAUGGUGGGGGUUGGAAAGUUUCGGCGGUUGGGGAUGGACUCGCGGCUUAUCAGCUUGUUGGUGGGGUAGUGGCUUACCAAGGCUUUGACGGGUAGCCGGCCUGAGAGGGUGACCGGCCACAUUGGGACUGAGAUACGGCCCAGACUCCUACGGGAGGCAGCAGUGGGGAAUAUUGCACAAUGGGCGGAAGCCUGAUGCAGCAACGCCGCGUGCGGGAUGACGGCCUUCGGGUUGUAAACCGCUUUCGCCUGUGACGAAGCGUGAGGGACGGUAAUGGGUAAAGAAGCACCGGCGAACUAC
rnacentral:rRNA from 1 species